rnacentral:rRNA from 1 species
GACGAACGCUGGCGGCGUGCUUAACCCAUGCAAGUCGAACGAGAUCCCAUGUGUAGCACUACACAGGAAGAUCUAGUGGCGAACGGGUGAGGAACACGUGAGAAACGUACCCCAGACUUUGGGAUAACAGUCCGAAAGGACUGCUAAUACCAAAUAACGUCGGAAGUCCGCAUGGACAUCUGACGAAAGGGAUUCCGGUUUGGGAGCGUCUCGCGGACCUAUCAGCUAGUUGGAGGGGUAACGGCCCACCAAGGCAACGACGGGUAGCUGGUCUGAGAGGAUGGUCAGCCACACUGGGACUGAGACACGGCCCAGACUCCUACGGGAGGCAGCAGUGGGGAAUCUUGCGCAAUGGGCGAAAGCCUGACGCAGCAACGCCGCGUGCGGGAAGAAGGCUUUCGGGCUGUAAACCGCUUUCAGUAGGAACGAAACUGACGGUACCUACAGAAGAAGGAGCGGCCAACUAUGUG